rnacentral:rRNA from 1 species
GUGAGGAAUAUUGGUCAAUGGACGGAAGUCUGAACCAGCCAAGUAGCGUGCAGGAUGACGGCCCUAUGGGUUGUAAACUGCUUUUAUGCGGGGGUAAAGUGAGUGACGUGUCAUUCAUUGCAAGUACCGCAAGAAUAAGGACCGGCUAAUUCCGUGCCAGCAGCCGCGGUAAUACGGAAGGUCCUGGUGUUAUCCGGAUGUAUUGGGUUUAAAGGGAGCGUAGGCCGUCAGGCAAGCGUGUUGUGAAAUGUCGUGGCUCAACCAUGGACUUGCAGCGCGAACUGCCCGACUUGAGUGCGCAGAAAGCAGGCGGAAUUUGUGGUGUAGCGGUGAAAUGCUUAGAUAUCACGAAGAACCCCGAUUGCGAAGGCAGCCUGCUGUAGCGCUACUGACGCUGAAGCUCGAAAGUGCGGGUAUCGAACAGGAUUAGAUACCCCGGUAGUCC